ACCUGGCUGGCUUAGUUGGUAGAGCAUGAAACUCUUGAUCUCAGGGUUUUGAGUUCAAGCCCCACGUUGGGCA
rnacentral:tRNA from 1 species